UUCCCUUGGGAUAACUGUGGAAAUGCUAGACCUAAUACAUGCUAUGAUGCUUUGAUUGUCCUUGUCAUCAAAGCACAUUUAUUGGUUGCCAUAUGCUUGGGGCCGCGGCAUCGCCGCCUUUGCCCUACCGAUUAUUGAAUGAGACUAACUACGGUGAUCGCAUGGUCUUGGUACCAGCGACGAAUCUUUGAAAUGACUUGCUCAUCAACUUUCGAUGGUAGGUUACGUGCUUACCAUGGUGACUACGGUUAGCGGAGAAUCAGGGUUCGACUCCGGAGAAGGAGCCUGAGAGACGGCUACUACUUCCAAGGAAGGCAGCAGGCGCGCAAAUUACCCACUCCCAGCACGGGGAGGUAGUGACGAUAAAUAACGGAACGUAUCUCGAUGAGACGCGUUACCGGAACGAUCGAGCCGUAUACGAGCUUGAUGAAGGCUAUUGGAGGGCAAGUCUGGUGCCAGCAGCCGCGGUAAUUCCAGCUCCAAUAGCGUAUAUUAAAGUUGCUGCGGUUGAACCGCUCGUAUUGGAUUGCGAUAUUGGGCCACGGUGGUUCUCCGGUCACAGAGAUGGUAUGAUUGGCUUUGCCGCCGUUGGUCGUCAUGAUCGUUUAAUGUCAUGGUUGUUCGUGAUGCUCUUUGCUGAGUGUCGCGGGUGACAUGAACGUCUACUUUGAGAAAAUAAGAGCGCUUAAAGCAGGCUGCUCAGAGAAAAGCUUGAACGGAAUUUCAUGGGAUGGUGAAGAUGAUCUCGCUGGUAGUAACAUGACCACGAGGUAAUGAUUAACAGAGACAGACGGUGGCAUUCGUACUGCUACGUUAGAGGUGAAAUU
rnacentral:rRNA from 1 species